rnacentral:rRNA from 1 species
AACGAACGCUGGCGGCAUGCCUAACACAUGCAAGUCGAACGAGACCUUCGGGUCUAGUGGCGCACGGGUGCGUAACGCGUGGGAACCUGCCUUUAGGUUCGGAAUAACUCAGAGAAAUUUGAGCUAAUACCGGAUGAUGUCUUCGGACCAAAGAUUUAUCGCCUUUAGAUGGGCCCGCGUUGGAUUAGCUAGUUGGUGGGGUAAAGGCCUACCAAGGCGACGAUCCAUAGCUGGUCUGAGAGGAUGAUCAGCCACACUGGGACUGAGACACGGCCCAGACUCCUACGGGAGGCAGCAGUGGGGAAUAUUGGACAAUGGGCGAAAGCCUGAUCCAGCAAUGCCGCGUGAGUGAUGAAGGCCUUAGGGUUGUAAAGCUCUUUUACCCGAGAUGAUAAUGACAGUAUCGGGAGAAUAAGCUCCGACUAACUCCGUG